rnacentral:rRNA from 1 species
CAGUCGCCGCGGGAAUACGUAGGGUGCAAGCGUUAAUCGGAAUUACUGGGCGUAAAGCGUGCGCAGGCGGUGUUGUAAGACUGUUGUGAAAGCCCUGGGCUCAACCUGGGAAUUGCAGUGGAUACUGGGUCACUAGAGUGUGGUAGAGGAUAGUGGAAUUUCCGGUGUAGCAGUGAAAUGCGUAGAGAUCGGAAGGAACAUCUGUGGCGAAGGCGACUAUCUGGGACAACACUGACGCUGAGGCACGAAAGCGUGGGGAGCAAACAGGAUUAGAUACCCGGGUAGUCCCUGUCUCUUAUAC